CUUGGGGCGCUCGGCGCCUCCUGCGCCGGGCUCAGCCCCGAGGAGGGACGCGCUUGGCCGGCGGCGGCUGCUGGCCCUGUGCGCGGCUGUUGCAGCUUGCUGCGUUGCUCCCCCAGGCACUUCGGGGGCUGGGGCAGCGAGGGUUUCCUACCCCUCCUCCCAGCGAUUCUUGGCGUUUAAAAAACGUAAAGCCGGUUAUGGCUGCCUGUGGGGGAAAUAAAGAGGAGCUACAGCGCGAGGAAGCUCGUGGUGUUGUGUUGUUUGUGAAGGGAAAAGAAGUCGUAUUUCAAAGUUCUCUUCCUUCUCCACUGAGAACUUGAAUUUCAAAGGGCAGGGCUUGCAUAACUUCUCAGCAUCAUUCUUUAAACAAGGUAGAAAAAAACAGCACAAGAAAGAAAAAAAACUGCUUUCCCUGCCAAGAAGCCAACUGUGUGGGGACUGCCAUGCAGUGGUAUCAGGAGAGCAGGAUAAAAGCUUAACUUUAUAUUAAAAUGAUUCCAGAGUUAAAACCAGCAGGCUGGGAAGGUUCAUUCCAGUACCAAUUCCGGUAUUUAUGCAGAAUAAUAAGGUGGAGAGAAAAGAACAUCCUGCUGGGAGAGCGCAACCCUCAGAUACAUCUAGUGGAGUUACUACGUGAGGAAAACAAGCUUCUCUCACUUGCACAACCUUUUUAAGCUAGUGCAUGCAAGGACACUCACUAGCUGGAGUGGGAUGCCUGCUGUUAAUGCUUCUCUAWCUGAGAGAAGGAAAAAUUCCUGAGAGACACUGUGCAACAAUGAAACCCCAACAGUGAAGAGCAUCCUGCAGGACACAGUACUUCCUUUCUUCACAUGCACUACAUGCUACCACCUGUAUUAGGAUCUACAGCUACAGGACCUACGUAAAAAUAUGCACAUAGAUAAAUAUAUUGCAUCUUCUUUCAGUUUAGUUGCUUAAGUUAGCUGCAGGCUGACAUACGAUAGAGUUCACAUUUAAAUCUUCAGAGUAAAACACUUUGAAAGCAAACCUAUUAAGGUUAAUAGAAUGAACUUACAAUGCCCAUGGUUAGAAAGGAGGGGGGAGUGAGACACUCAGUAAAUUGUACAUCAAAUAGCCUGUCACCUCUAGGCCUGCAACUCAAGGCCUGCUAGUGGAUCAUUCUAUUAUCUUUAAUGGGCUUAAUUUUAAAGUGGUAUGCUCAUCAAAUUUAAAAUAUCAGUGUCAGUUUUGUUAUCUGUGAUCCUGCAUCUACCUUAAAUGUGUUAAUGACGAAAGUGUGCAGUCUGAAAAAGUGCAAAGGCAUCAUACAUACAACAUUAGCUUAAAAAUAAAAGCCUUUGUCUAAAGUUUUAAACA
rnacentral:lncRNA from 1 species